GUGAAGGGUCGAGAUGGCGGACUAGAGGGGGGGUGAAUAGUCCUUUCUAAAAGUUAUUACGCCGGCUAACCGAAAACAAAUGCGGAAUUAAAACUAUCGGUCUAGCCAAGACUACACCCCUCUAUCUAAGUUCUCUAGCACCUUCAAAAGAUCCUAAACAAGCAAGCAAGGUGCUACCUUAGCAAGAGCUCACCUAACCAAUUCUAGGAGCAAGGUCACACAAACCU
rnacentral:lncRNA from 1 species